rnacentral:rRNA from 1 species
UACGUAGGGUGCGAGCGUUGUCCGGAAUUAUUGGGCGUAAAGAGCUUGUAGGCGGUUUGUCGCGUCUGCUGUGAAAAUCCGGGGCUCAACCCCGGACUUGCAGUGGGUACGGGCAGACUAGAGUGUGGUAGGGGAGACUGGAAUUCCUGGUGUAGCGGUGAAAUGCGCAGAUAUCAGGAGGAACACCGAUGGCGAAGGCAGGUCUCUGGGCCGACUACUGACGCUGAGAAGCGAAAGCAUGGGGAGCGAACAGG